AAGAGAAGCUGUGUUUCGCUUGCCCAGCCCGCGGUAGCUGGAGGGGUCGCGAAGUCAGCCCGCAGCAGCUGGUGGGGACGCGAGGUCAGUCCGGGGCAGUUGGAGGGGACUUGACCUCAGCCUGUGGCAGUUGGUGGCCGUCUUGCUCCCAUCAAGGUAGAGCCGCCUGUGAGGAUGACACCAGUAAGCAGAACCCAGAGGCGGGGAGAGACCGUUUCUGCUGACGUCCGUGAGCUCCAGGUGCAGCCCUGCCGUAAACCGUCCACCUGUGGACUUAGUUACGCUGUCUGCUGCAUGAGAAUGGAGACCAGGUGUCUGGAGCCUGCCCAGCACACAGUAAGGCCUCAGUGAACGUGCACUGGGUGUGUGGACGCUGAGGCCACAGACGAGAACGUUCCAGGCAGUGAUGAAGCUGCAAUGAAGGCUCCUGUCCAUCUGUCUGUCCAUCCACGGCUCUGGGCUCCUCCGCCUCCUGCCCUCCCCAUGCUCCCUGCGUGGUGCGUCCUCCCUCUCCUCCAGGACUUGUCUUGCAGGCCCUGUGAUGGUGAAAUGAGUUUUGAUGGCCAAUUUUGGAGGAUGCCUCGCAAUUGAAAACUGGCUCUUCUAACUUCAGAGAUUCAGCUUAUGGCAUGGACUAUGUUGAAGAGAAGUGGUGAGACUGGGCAUCCUUGUCAUGUUCCAGAUUUUAGUGAAUUUGCCUGUGAAGCCAUCUGGUCCUGGACUUUUGCUGUACGCGGGCCUCUCACUGUUGUGGCCUCUCCCGUUGCGGAGCACAGGCUCCAGACACGCAGGCUCAGAGGCCAUGGCUCACAGGCCCAGCUGCUUCACGGCAUGUGGGAUCUUCCCGGACCGGGGACCUGUGUCCCCUGCAUCAGCAGGCGGACUCUCAACCACUGGCGCCACCAGGGAAGCCUGGUCUGUACUUUUUAAGCUAAGCCUUUACUGAAACUAGAAUUUUUGUCUCUGAGAGAAAGUUGUACUGAUAACCAAAAUGAGGAUAUUGUCUUCAUUUUACAUGUUUUGUUUGUUUAUUUAAAAUUACUUGAAAUGAUAUUUGGUUAGUUUCUUCAUGAUAAUGAGAUCCUCCCAAUGUGUUAUAUUGUACAAAUAUCCUCACUUCCAAUCAUCUAUUAUAAGUUU